rnacentral:lncRNA from 1 species
AACUCAUGUAAGCACAAGUUAACUAUUGGGAGACAGCAAAUGUUAGUUCAGACAGAAGAUGUUAAUUAUAAAACCUGAGAAGCCGAAUUCACCCUAAUCUUGUCAAGAUAGAGGGGACAAGGAUCAUCUCAGAGACUGCUGAAUCAUUCCUCAAAGGACUACACAUGCCCAGGGAGAAAGGUGAAAAGUUCACUGGGAGGAUGACUGCUGGUCUUCAUCAGAAAGACCCCGAGGAAGAGGAGAGGCCUUCCUCAGCGCGACCACCAGGACACACAGCGCACGCGUGGCCCAUAUGCUAAUGACUUCCAAUGACACCUGUCCCAAGGAAUGUGAUGAGUAUUCAUAAUUUAGCCCAUAAUACUGUGUUGUAGAGAGCACCAGGUGUGUGUGUUUGGAGGAGCGAUCCCCACACAGCCGGCGCGCCAAAUAAAGCAAAUACCCACUUCUCUGACUCUGUCUCUCAAGUGUCUCCUGGCCUGGUUGCCGCGUGAUUCAUCAUGAGGGAAUAGCAGCUGCCCCCGUGAGGAACCAAGAGGUGAGUGCCAACUUCACAGCUGAGAGGGAAUCUCCAGGGAAGUGGGAAAAGCCUUCAGAUCAACUAACGCCACAGGAAAAAGAACAUGCUUGGUUUAUGGAUGGGUCAGCUAAAUAUAUAGGAGGAAAAAGGUUUUGGAAAGCAGUAGCUGACCAUCCUGUUAUAAACAGAUAUUAUAGUAUUGGCUUCUCGCAAAGUAUUAAAGUAGAUAUUAUAUAAUGUUAGAAAUGCUUUUUCUGUGUGGAUGUAGUUUUCUCUCGUUUUAGCAAGAAUGUUAGCAAGUGUGAGCAAGUAAGAUAACCUCCAAUCGAGCAGAGGAUGAGGCCCAAGGAGCUGCUAAUCAACACUUUGUCCAGGGAACAAAAGGGCCCAAAGGCUGCUCCGCCCGGAGAACUGGCGGCCAGGAGGGUCCGAGAGCCGCUAUCACCGCUCUGCCCGGGGGGCAAAGAGGCCCAAAGCUGCAAUCAGCCCUGACUGUCUGGAGAAUUAAGAGAUCC